rnacentral:rRNA from 1 species
AGAGUUUGAUCCUGGCUCAGGACGAACGCUGGCGGCGCGCCUAACACAUGCAAGUCGAACGGAGCUGAGAGGAGCUUGCUUUUCUUAGCUUAGUGGCGAACGGGUGAGUAACGCGUGAGUAACCUGCCCUGGAGUGGGGGACAACAGUUGGAAACGACUGCUAAUACCGCAUAAGCCCACGAUCCGGCAUCGGAUUGAGGGAAAAGGAUUUAUUCGCUUCAGGAUGGACUCGCGUCCAAUUAGCUAGUUGGUGAGGUAACGGCCCACCAAGGCGACGAUUGGUAGCCGGACUGAGAGGUUGAACGGCCACAUUGGGACUGAGACACGGCCCAGACUCCUACGGGAGGCAGCAGUGGGGAAUAUUGCACAAUGGGGGAAACCCUGAUGCAGCGACGCCGCGUGGAGGAAGAAGGUCUUCGGAUUGUAAACUCCUGUUGUUGAGGAAGAUAAUGACGGUACUCAACAAGGAAGUGACGGCUAACUACGUGCCAGCAGCCGCGGUAAAACGUAGGUCACAAGCGUUGUCCGGAAUUACUGGGUGUAAAGGGAGCGCAGGCGGGAAGACAAGUUGGAAGUGAAAUCCAUGGGCUCAACCCAUGAACUGCUUUCAAAACUGUUUUUCUUGAGUAGUGCAGAGGUAGGCGGAAUUCCCGGUGUAGCGGUGGAAUGCGUAGAUAUCGGGAGGAACACCAGUGGCGAAGGCGGCCUACUGGGCACCAACUGACGCUGAGGCUCGAAAGUGUGGGUAGCAAACAGGAUUAGAUACCCUGGUAGUCCACACCGUAAACGAUGAUUACUAGGUGUUGGAGGAUUGACCCCUUCAGUGCCGCAGUUAACACAAUAAGUAAUCCACCUGGGGAGUACGACCGCAAGGUUGAAACUCAAAGGAAUUGACGGGGGCCCGCACAAGCAGUGGAGUAUGUGGUUUAAUUCGACGCAACGCGAAGAACCUUACCAAGUCUUGACAUCCUGCGACGGUGCUAGAAAUAGUAUUUUCCUUCGGGACGCAGAGACAGGUGGUGCAUGGUUGUCGUCAGCUCGUGUCGUGAGAUGUUGGGUUAAGUCCCGCAACGAGCGCAACCC